GGGUGCCUGAAGCUUUCCGGUUUCAGGUUUACUCUGAGGUCUGGAAAGAUGAAGCCCCAGGAGAUAUUUCUAUCAACCCUGUACUGCACCCAUUUUGUUGGACGAUGAAAUGGAAUAGCCCCUAAUAUGUCAAAGCCAAAAUACCCUUUUGAAAAG
rnacentral:antisense_RNA from 1 species